rnacentral:rRNA from 1 species
UGGGGGAUAUUGCACAAUGGAGGAAACUCUGAUGCAGCAACGCCGCGUGAAGGAUGAAGGUCUUCGGAUUGUAAACUUUUGUACUUGGGGACGAUAAUGACGGUACCCAAGCAGCAAGCUCCGGCUAACUACGUGCCAGCAGCCGCGGUAAUACGUAGGGAGCAAGCGUUGUCCGGAUUUACUGGGUGUAAAGGGUGCGUAGGCGGCCAUACAAGUCAGUUGUGAAAACUAUGGGCUCAACCCAUAGCCUGCAAUUGAAACUGCGUGGCUUGAGUGAAGUAGAGGUAGGUGGAAUUCCCGGUGUAGCGGUGAAAUGCGUAGAGAUCGGGAGGAACACCAGUGGCGAAGGCGACCUACUGGGCUUUAACUGACGCUGAGGCACGAAAGCAUGGGUAGCAAAC